GGGCCGCGGGGGGCCGGGCGCUCCCCGCCGGAGAUGAGGAAACUGAGGCUCAGAGAGGUCACAUGGCUUGCUCGAGGCCCCCCAGCCAGUAAGUGGUGAAACCGGGAUUCGCACUGGCAGCUGACAUGCUGUACUGAACAUGGCCUUCUCAGAGCAGGAUUGUGACGGGGCAGACCAGGGGGACGGUGGUCCUGGCUGAGGGCACAGCUCCGGCAAAGGUGUGAACCCACGUCCCUGCCCCCAGGGCCACCUGCAGGACGCGGACACCUACCCCUCAGCAGACGCCGGAGAGAAAUGAGUAGCAACAAAGAGCAGCGGUCAGCAGUGUUCGUGAUCCUCUUUGCCCUCAUCACCAUCCUCAUCCUCUACAGCUCCAACAGUGCCAGUGAGGUCUUCCAUUACGGCUCCCUGCGGGGCCGUAGCCGCCGACCUGUCAACCUCAAGAAGUGGAG
rnacentral:sRNA from 1 species